rnacentral:rRNA from 1 species
GACGGAGGAUGCAAGCGUUGUCCGGAAUGAUUGGGCGUAAAGCGUUCGCAGGUGGCUGUUCAAGUCUGCUGUCAAAGACCGGGGCUUAACCCCAGACAGGCAGUGGAAACUGAACGGCUGGAGUGCAGUUCGGGUAGAGGGAAUUCCAAGUGUAGCGGUGAAAUGCGUAGAGAUUGGGAAGAACACCAGUGGCGAAAGCGCGCUGCUGGACUGCAACUGACACUGAGGGAAGAAAGCUAGGGGAGCGAAAAGG